rnacentral:rRNA from 1 species
AACGAACGCUGGCGGCAUGCCUAACACAUGCAAGUCGAACGAGACCUUCGGGUCUAGUGGCGCACGGGUGCUUAACGCGUGGGAACCUGCCCUUAGGUUCGGAAUAACUCCCCGUAAGGGGUGCUAAUACCGGAUAGUGUCUUCGGACCAAAGAUUUAUCGCCUUUGGAUGGGCCUGCGUUGGAUUAGCUAGUUGGUAGGGUAAAAGCCUACCAAGGCGACGAUCCAUAGCUGGUCUGAGAGGAUGAUCAGCCACACUGGGACUGAGACCCGGCCCAGACUCCUACGGGAGGCAGCAGUCGGGAAUAUUGGACAAUGGGCGAAAGCCUGAUCCAGCAAUGCCGCGUGAGUGAUGAAGGCCUUAGGGUUGUAAAGCUCUUUUACCCGGGAUGAUAAUGACAGUACCGGGAGAAUAAGCGCCGGCUAACUCCGUG